rnacentral:rRNA from 1 species
UACGUAGGGGGCAAGCGUUGUCCGGAUUUAUUGGGCGUAAAGAGCGUGUAGGCGGCUAUACAGGUCCGCUGUGAAAACUCGAGGCUCAACCUCGAGACGUCGGUGGAAACCGUAUGGCUAGAGUCCGGAAGAGGAGAGUGGAAUUCCUGGUGUAGCGGUGAAAUGCGCAGAUAUCAGGAAGAACACCCGUGGCGAAGGCGGCUCACUGGACCGUAACUGACGCUGAGACACGAAAGCGUGGGUAGCAAACAGG